AUUGAACGCUGGCGGCAGGCCUAACACAUGCAAGUCGAGCGGAUGAGUGGAGCUUGCUCCAUGAUUCAGCGGCGGACGGGUGAGUAAUGCCUAGGAAUCUGCCUGGUAGUGGGGGACAACGUUUCGAAAGGAACGCUAAUACCGCAUACGUCCUACGGAGAAAGCAGGGGACCUUCGGGCCUUGCGCUAUCAGAUGAGCCUAGGUCGGAUUAGCUAGUAGGUGAGGUAAUGGCUCACCUAGGCGACGAUCCGUAACUGGUCUGAGAGGAUGAUCAGUCACACUGGAACUGAGACACGGUCCAGACUCCUACGGGAGGCAGCAGUGGGGAAUAUUGGACAAUGGGCGAAAGCCUGAUCCAGCCAUGCCGCGUGUGUGAAGAAGGUCUUCGGAUUGUAAAGCACUUUAAGUUGGGAGGAAGGGCAGUAAGCUAAUACCUUGCUGUUUUGACGUUACCGACAGAAUAAGCACCGGCUAACUCUGUGCCAGCCGCCGCCGUAACAC
rnacentral:rRNA from 1 species